GAAACCUUGGCCUUCUUCUUCUCUAUCCAUGGCCAUGGAGCUCUGCUGAGAAUCUACUACACAACAAGCUGAAGGGACCAACGAAACGAUGCUUCGUUUUGCUCAUUACAAUUCUCAUACCCAUCUCCGCAAGCUUCUCUUCUCGUCCUCAAACGUUGGUCUUCUUCAUAUGGGUUCCAAAUUCUUGCUCAAGCCUUCCCCUCCACCUUCACUUUCUCCACCUUCCUCUUUUUCUUCAACAAGACACCCAUAUCACACCUCUAAACGUUUUUUACCAGUCUUUUGUCCUAAACCCAUCUCUAAAACCCACCCUUAUUUCCUUAAAGUUAACGGCUUCACCUCAAAUGCCACUGUUCCAGCUCCAGUUUAUGGCGGGGAUUCGGAAGUGAAGAACUUAAGAAAAUUGGAGAUUCUAAGGCGCAAAUUGGAAGAGUUGGGUAUUGAAAUGGAUACAUUUACUCCUGGGCAACAUAAUCACUUAAUAUGUCCAAUGUGCAAUGGUGGUGAUUCUGAGGAAAAAAGUUUUUCUCUUUUUAUCAGCCCAGAUGGGAGUGGGGCAUCCUGGACUUGCUUUCGAGCUAAAUGUGGGUGGAGUGGUGGAACGAGGCCCUUUGCAGGAAGAAACUCUACAUAUGAGA
rnacentral:misc_RNA from 1 species